rnacentral:ncRNA from 1 species
CAACUGGAGAGUUUGAUCCUGGCUCAGAAUGAACGCUGGCGGCGUGCCUAACACAUGCAAGUCGCACGAGAAAGGCUGGGUUUCGGCUUGGCCGAGUAAAGUGGCGCACGGGUGAGUAACGCGUGGGUGACCUACCCUCGAAUCUGGGAUAACCUCGCGAAAGCGGGGCUAAUACCGGAUACGUCCCUUCGGGGAGAAAGCCGGCCUCUCGAAGAAGCUGGUGUUCGGGGAUGGGCCCGCGUCCUAUCAGCUAGUUGGUAGGGUAACGGCCUACCAAGGCGACGACGGGUAGCUGGUCUGAGAGGAUGAUCAGCCACACUGGCACUGGAACACGGGCCAGACUCCUACGGGAGGCAGCAGUGAGGAAUUUUGCGCAAUGGGAGCAAUCCUGACGCAGCAACGCCGCGUGGGUGAAGAAGGCCUUCGGGUCGUAAAGCCCUGUCAGGAGGGAAGAACCUCGCUGGGGCGAAUAGCCUUGGCGACUGACGGUACCUCCAGAGGAAGCACCGGCUAACUCCGUGCCAGCAGCCGCGGUAAUACGGAGGGUGCGAGCGUUAUUCGGAAUUACUGGGCGUAAAGCGCGUGUAGGCGGCAGGGCAAGUCUGGUGUGAAAGCCCGGGGCUCAACCCCGGAAGUGCAUUGGAAACUGCUCUGCUUGAGUACCGGAGAGGAAGGGGGAAUUCCCGGUGUAGCGGUGAAAUGCGUAGAUAUCGGG